UACGAGGGGGGCAAAUGUUGUUCGGAAUCACUGGGCGUAAAGGGUGCGUAGGCGGGUUCUUAAGUUAGGUGUUUAAUCCCGGGGCCCAACCCCGGACCGGCACUUAAAACUGGGAAUCUUGAAUAGUGGAGAGGUCAGUGGAAUUGGGGGUGUAGCGGUGGAAUGCGUAGAGAUCCCCAAGAACACCAGUUGCGAAGGCGGCUGACUGGACACAUAUUGACGCUGAGGCUCGAAAGCAUGGGGAGCAAACAGG
rnacentral:rRNA from 1 species